rnacentral:lncRNA from 1 species
UUUUCACCUUCUUUUGUUCAGAUUUGGCAUCUAGAAUAUCAUCACGUACCUUUCCUGCUUCUUUGCCAUCACUAGCCAGAUUUUUCAACACUGUAAUCGGCUUCUCAAUAAUUAUAUUCAGAUGUGAACUCUUCUUUGGGCCAUCACACUUGACACGGUAUAUUUGUGUAACACCCCGGAAACCACAAAUACACCGGAAUGCUACUAAACUACACAAACAACAGCUGCACACAAUUAACAAAUAAUUUGGCAGCAUCUCCUUUGUAUUUAUAGCAAGCGGAAGAAUAAAAUAUAUAAAUAACUGAAAUACCAAACUAGGAUUAAUAAACAUCCUAACGCAAAAGAGAUACUCCAACAAGAAUUAAGUUUAACAUCCACACUUUAAACAAAGACCUUCAAAACCAAUGAGCAAACCAAGUUAUUAUUUAUUAAAACACAAGGUCUCUAAAUGAAGAAGUGUGUGACGUGCAGCUAAUUCCCUUCCCUUCCAAGCAAGCAUCAAGUACCUGAAUUGAGUAAAGCAAGAGUGAGAUAAAAUAUCUCAGCAAGCGAAUUUGUUUUGACAAGCUAUUUAAACCACAAGUUGAAUUAACAUCAAUUUAAUAUGGUGUUUCCAAUUGACAUGAUAUCAGAUUAAAAUAACAGACUUCUGAUUUGGAACAUAGCCAACAAUAGAGAGCUUCAUAAUAACGUGGAUAAAAUCCCUUCAAUAACAUACUUCUCAUGAAUGCAUAUGAAUGCAAUGCAUAUGUCUCCUGCC